UGCGAUCAUACCAGCAC
rnacentral:rRNA from 3 species